rnacentral:tRNA from 1 species
GGAAGAGUGGCAGAGUGGUCGAUUGCACCGGUCUUGAAAACCGGCGAUGGGAAACUAUCCGUGAGUUCGAAUCUCACCUCUUCCGCCA